rnacentral:rRNA from 1 species
CGCGUAAUACGGAGGAAGUGGGAUGACGUCAAAUCAUCAUGCCCCUUAUGACCUGGGCUACACACGUGCUACAAUGGUUGGUACAACGAGUUGCGAGUCGGUGACGGCGAGCUAAUCUCUUAAAGCCAAUCUCAGUUCGGAUUGUAGGCUGCAACUCGCCUACAUGAAGUCGGAAUCGCUAGUAAUCGCGGAUCAGCACGCCGCGGUGAAUACGUUCCCGGGCCUU